rnacentral:lncRNA from 1 species
AUAGCGAGCCACUGACCUGUUGAUACCACCUGGCUGAAAUCAAUUCCAAGAGAAACAGAUCUGAAGAAGACAGAUUAGGGACCAUCCUAAAGUACAAAGCUGUGUUCUCUGCAUUUCAACGACUCUGAUUUCAUCUCUGAGUCUAAAAGAAGUCAGACCCUUAGCAAGGCUCUAAAGAAGAGGUACCUCAAAGCAAACGUAGUACCAUCCCUAUGGCCACACUGCCCCAACUACCUCUCAACUCCUAUAGCGCCAUCUAGGCCAACUCAAGCUGCGACCACGUCACGUAGGGAUCAAACGUUCAAUGUCCUUCAACAGCAACUGGAAUUUUAACUCUUGAUUGAGGAGUCAGUCCUCUUUGUGGAAGAAGUUACUGACAAAUUGGCCAGGAGACACUCCCAUCAGACUUCAUACUCAUAACAAAACCAAGCACUGCCCUUUUGAAGCUAUCCCAUGAUGAGAAAUUUGGCCCCAAAGUAGUAGCCAGCAUCCAGUUUGAGACAGAUAUGACUUUCAAAUAUACCACUCUUGUGUGUUGAUACACAAAAAGGCAGUGUCACACAUCACCUCAGAAGGCAAGGACAACACUGUGAUUCAAGCCAUCAAUUUGACUUCCUUUCUGGGAGGAAAAGAAGAAUUGAAUCAAACAGAGACCAAGGAAGACAUUCUCAACGAGUUAGUGAAGUUUCUCAACUCCUCAGACACCUGGAGUUGGCUACGAAAAGAGAGAUGAGCUUCGGGAACCAAUCUCUGAGAAGAACAAACUUUGCCUCUCUUUCUUGAGAGAUUUUGUCGACUUUCUCAUCGAGUGGUAAGACAGUAAAGCACCUGGCCUCACAGCAGAAACCUUCCUAUCAACAAAGCAGACGUGCCUUGCUGCAGCAGAUCUGGCAAAGUAUCUUCUCCUCGAUGAAGACUUCUCCUAUGUACUCCUCGGCAUUUUCCAGUCUGAUCCGAUCGAAAAAAGGUUCGGCUGGUACAGACAACUAAGUAGAGAUAUCUACUACGUCAGCGUGAGAUAGAUCCUGGAAGCAGAGAAAAAGAUUCGUAUUCUGAGUCUUGUCAGAUUCUCAGGUAUGACUACUUCAGAAAUUAAAGCUCUGCGGGAUGAAGACUUGGUAAAAGCUGAGCUCAUUUUGACUAACUGGCAACCAGAUGACCUCCAGGAAUUGGCUUCCAAAAUUCCAAAAUAUAUUUGUUUUUCUUUGAAGAAGAAGAUCAGCUGUACAUUAUGCCAAGAGUUAACGGUCAUCAGAGACACACCUCCGGACUCAAUAACCUUCGACAGACCAACUAAUCAGCAUGUAGACC